rnacentral:rRNA from 1 species
CGGUGUGGAUAAGGCAUGCAAGUCAAGGGUACUGAGGUCGCAAGACCGAAGUAACCGGCGAACGAGUUAGUAACACGUAGAAACAUACCUCAGAGUCUCGCACAGCUCGGAGAAAUCCGGGGUAAUUCGAGAUGGUCCCGCAAGGGUAAAGAUUUAUCGCUCUGAGAUUGGUCUGCGGCUCAUCAGCUAGUUGGUAGGGUAACGGCCUACCAAGGCAAUGACGGGUAGGGGGCAUGAGAGUGUGUUCCCCAACGAGGGCACUGAGACACGGGCCCUACUCCUACGGGAGGCAGCAGUCGAGAAUCUUCCACAAUGGGGGAAACCCUGAUGGAGCGACACCGCGUGCACGAAGAAGUCCUUCGGGUUGUAAAGUGCUUUUUUGAGGGAAUAAUCCCGCCUUUGGCGGGAUGAAUGUACCUUAAGAAUAAGGGGAGGCUAAUCACGUGCCAGCAGCUGCGGUAAUACGUGGUCCCCAAGCGUUAUCCGGAUUUAUUGGGCGUAAAGCAUUAAUAGGCGGUUCGUUAAGUUUUUUGUCAAAGCUCAAGGCUCAACCUUGAAAACGCAAAAAAUACUGGCGAACUAGAAGGCGUUAGAGGCUGAUAGAACGGUCGGUGUAGGGGUGAAAUCCGUUGAUAUCGACCGGAAUACCAAAAGCGAAGGCAUUCAGCUGGGGCGACCUUGACGCUGUAUAAUGAAAGCGUGGGGAGAGAACAGGAUUAGAUACCCUGGUAUUCCACGCUGUAAACUAUGAACACUGGCUAUUUGAAGUGUCGACCCUUCAAGUGGCGAAGCAAACGCGUUAAGUGUUCCGCCUGGGAAGUACGGCCGCAAGGCUAAAACUCAAAGGAAUAGACGGGGCUUUACACAAGCGGUGGACCAUGUGGCUUAAUUCGACAACAAACGAAAACCUUACCAGGGCUUGACACUCUGACGAAACUCCGAAGAAAUUCGGAGCCUCCACAAGACGGCAGAGCAGGUGCUGCAUGGUUGUCGUCAGCUCGUACUAUGAAGCGUACGCUUAAGUGCGGUAACGAGCGCAACCCUCGCUCUAUGUUUCAAAUGUCAUAGAGAACUGCCCGGGAUAACUGGGAGGAAGGCGAGGAUGACGCCAAAUCAGCAUGGCCCUUUGACGCCCUGGGCUGCACACGUGGUACAAUGGGACUGACAAUGGGCAAAGCCGCAAGGCGAAGGUAAUCCCAACAAAAAGUCCCUCAGUUCGGAUUGAGGUCUGAAACCCGACCUCAUGAAGUCGGAAUCGCUAGUAAUCGCCGAUCAGCUAUGCGGCGAUGAAUAUGUUCCUAAAGCUUGUACUCACCGCCUGUCACACCAGGAGAGCUGGCAGUACCCGAAAUUCCUCCGUCUGCGGAGGGCCUAAGGUAAAGUCAGUAAUAAGGGUGAAGUCAUAACAAGGCA